AGGAACAACCACAGUGGUGGCGGCCAGCUCUGGAGCCCUGGAUUCAGCUCCCGAUGUAAUUACAGAGCUCCCGGUCUGCAAGGGCCUGGAUGUUCCGGAGGCGG
rnacentral:pre_miRNA from 1 species